AACGAACGCUGGCGGCAGGCCUCAUACAUGCAAGUCGAGCGGACGGACCCCUUCGGGGGCGAGUUAGCGGCGAACGGGUGAGUAACAGGUGGAUGAUCUGCCUCCCGGUGGGGGAUAACGGCUGGAAACGGCCGCUAAUACCGCAUUCGGUUGAUGCGUUGCGGCGCAUCAAAGAAAGGCGCUUCACGGCGCUGCCGGGAGGUGAGUCCGCCCCCCAUUAGCUAGUUGGCGGGAUAACAGCCCACCAAGGCUUCGAUGGGUAGCCGAACUGAGAGGUUGAUCGGCCACACUGGAACUGAGACACGGUCCAGACACCUACGGGUGGCAGCAGUAGGGAAUAUUGGGCAAUGGGCGAAAGCCUGACCCAGCCAUGCCGCGUGAGUGACGAAGGUCCUAUGGAUUGUAAAGCUCUUUUCUGAGGAAAGAACAUCCGGGGUAGGAAAUGACCCCGGCUUGACGGUACCUCAGGAAUAAGGAACGGCUAACUCCGUGCCAGCAGCCGCGGUAAUACGU
rnacentral:rRNA from 1 species